CGGAGGGUGCGAGCGUUGUUCGGAAUUAUUGGGCGUAAAGCGCACGUAGGCGGCCGGGUAAGUCUCACUGUGAAAGCCCGGGGCUCAACCCCGGGAGGCCAGGGGAUACUGCUCGGCUGGAGACAGGCAGAGGCUGGUGGAAUUCCGGGUGUAGCGGUGGAAUGCGUAGAGAUCCGGAGGAGCACCUGAGGCGAAGGCGGCCAGCUGGGCCUGAUCUGACGCUGAGGUGCGAAAGCGUGGGGAGCGAACAGGAUUAGAUACCCUGGUAGUCCACGCCGUAAACGAUGGGCACUAGAUGCCGGUGGGAACGACCCCUUCGGUGUCGCAGCUAACGCAUUAAGUCGCCCCGCCUGGGGAGUACGGCCGCAAGGCUG
rnacentral:rRNA from 1 species